UAAGGAAUAUUGCUCAAUGGGAGAAAUCCUGAAGCAGCAACGCCGCGUGGAGGAUGAAGGGUUUUUAACUUGUAAACUCCUGUAAAGAAGGAAAAAAUUCCCAUUAGAUGGGAAAUGAUGGUACUUCUGGAGUAAGCCACGGCUAACUACGUGCCAGCAGCCGCGGUAAUACGUAGGGGGCAAGCGUUGUCCGGAUUUACUGGGUGUAAAGGGUGCUCAGGCGGAUUUGUAAGUCAGAGGUGAAAUCUCACAGCUUAACUGUGAAACUGCCUUUGAUACUGCAAGCCUAGAGUAUGGAAGAGAGUGAUGGAAUAUCUGGUGUAGCAGUGAAAUGCGUAGAUAUCAGAUAGAACACCAAUGGCGAAGGCAGUCACUUGGUCCAUAACUGACGCUAAAGCACGAAAGCGUGGGUAGCAAACAGGAUUAGAUACCCUGGUAGUCCACGCCCUAAACGAUGAAUACUAGAUGUUGGCUUCGCAUGAAGUCAGUAUCUGAGCUAACGCAUUAAGUAUUCCACCUGGGAAGUACGAUCGCAAGGUUGAAACUCAAAUGAAUUGACGGGGUCAUAGCUGUUUCCUG
rnacentral:rRNA from 1 species